rnacentral:lncRNA from 13 species
CCUAUUCAAACCUCAACUUGAAUUGUAUCUCCCAGAAUCCCACAUGUUGUGGGAGGGCCCUGUGGGAGGUAAUUGAAUCAUGGGGGCCUGUCUUUCCCAUGCUAGUCUCAUGAUAAUGAAUAAGUCUCACAAGAUCUGAUGAGUUUCUCAGGGGUUUCCGCUUUUGCUUCUUCCUCAUUUUCUCUUGCCACCACCAUGUAAGAAGUGCCUUUCACCUCCCGCCACGAUUCUGAGGCCUCCCCAGCCAUGUGGAACUAUUACACAUCUGGAACUGCUGUAUCCAUUCACCACUGGCCUGAGGAUGGAGCUUAUCCAUGGAGAAGCACAGAGUGGUCUGGAAGAGGCACAGGGAAGUGGAGGUAGCCAAAGGCUGGAGUGUAGUGACAAAAUCUCAGCUCACUGCAACCUCCGCCUCCCGAGUUCAAGCGAUUCUCCUGCCUCAGCCUACUGAGCAGCUGGGACUACAGACUGGGAUGUGGAAAAGGGGCUGGCCCACUCAACUGCCUGAUCUCUCCGAAUGCGCGUGCUCCAUAUGAAUAAAUGGAAAGAAUAAAUGAAAAUGAGGCCACUGUUUUCCUGUGUCA